AUGAACGCUAGCGGCAGGCUUAACACAUGCAAGUCGAGGGGCAGCAUAAUGGUAGCAAUACUAUUGAUGGCGACCGGCGGACGGGUGCGUAACGCGUAUGCAACCUACCCUUUACAGGGGGAUAACACUGAGAAAUCGGUACUAAUACCCCAUAAUAUUCUGGGAGGCAUCUUUCGGAGUUGAAAGCUUUGGUGGUAAAGGAUGGGCAUGCGUUGUAUUAGCUAGUUGGUAAGGUAACGGCUUACCAAGGCGACGAUACAUAGGGGGACUGAGAGGUUAACCCCCCACAUUGGUACUGAGACACGGACCAAACUCCUACGGGAGGCAGCAGUGAGGAAUAUUGGUCAAUGGACGGAAGUCUGAACCAGCCAUGCCGCGUGCAGGAAGACGGCUCUAUGAGUUGUAAACUGCUUUUGUACGAGGGUAAACGCAGAUACGCGUAUCUGCCUGAAAGUAUCGUACGAAUAAGGAUCGGCUAACUCCGUGCCAGCAGCCGCGGUAAUACGGAGGAUCCAAGCGUUAUCCGGAUUUAUUGGGUUUAAAGGGUGCGUAGGCGGUUUAGUAAGUCAGCGGUGAAAUUUUGGUGCUUAACACCAAACGUGCCGUUGAUACUGCUGGGCUAGAGAGUAGUUGCGGUAGGCGGAAUGUAUGGUGUAGCGGUGAAAUGCUUAGAGAUCAUACAGAACACCGAUUGCGAAGGCAGCUUACCAAACUAUAUCUGACGUUGAGGCACGAAAGCGUGGGGAGCAAACAGGAUUAGAUACCCUGGUAGUCCACGCAGUAAACGAUGAUAGCUCGUUGUCGGCGAUACACAGUCGGUGACUAAGAGAAAUCGAUAAGCUAUCCACCUGGGGAGUACGUUCGCAAGAAUGAAACUCAAAGGAAUUGACGGGGGCCCGCACAAGCGGAGGAACAUGUGGUUUAAUUCGAUGAUACGCGAGGAACCUUACCCGGGCUCAAACGUCGGGCGAAUCAUCCUGAAAGGGGUGAGCCAGCAAUGGCGGCCGACGAGGUGCUGCAUGGUUGUCGUCAGCUCGUGCCGUGAGGUGUCGGGUUAAGUCCCAUAACGAGCGCAACCCCUACUGAUAGUUGCCAUCAGAGCGUUUGAGCGAUCAAACAAGCUGGGCACUCUAUCGGGACUGCCGGUGUAAGCCGAGAGGAAGGUGGGGAUGACGUCAAAUCAGCACGGCCCUUACGUCCGGGGCGACACACGUGUUACAAUGGUAGGUACAGAGGGCAGCCACCCAGUGAUGGGGAGCGAAUCUCGAAAGCCUAUCUCAGUUCGGAUUGGAGGCUGAAACUCGCCUCCAUGAAGUUGGAUUCGCUAGUAAUCGCGCAUCAGCCAUGGCGCGGUGAAUACGUUCCCGGGCCUUGUACACACCGCCCGUCAAGCCAUGGGAGUUGGGGGUGCCUGAAGUUCGUGACCGAAAGGAGCGACCUAGGGCAAAACCGAUGACUGGGGCU
rnacentral:rRNA from 1 species